UGAGACAGCUAAUGAUUCUCAGAUGAGACUCUACUUUGCAUUUUUUUUUCCCCCAGCAGAAGAAAGUUGCUCCACAGCAAUAAUUAGCUCUCUUGUUUGCAGGAGCUUGUGAUGUCAUCAGAUGAAGCGAAAACAUCUACCUCGUGACCUGGCAUGAUGCGUCAGGAUGAAACGCCACAGGCAUCUGAGCACCAGUGACAGUUCAGACAAUGAGAGUCCUUCCACUUCCUUUUCUUCUUGUGCUAAAUACAGGAGC